rnacentral:rRNA from 1 species
UACGAGGGGGGCGAGCGUUGUUCGGAAUUAUUGGGCGUAAAGGGUGCGCAGGCGGUUUGGUAAGUCUUGUGUGAAAUCUACAGGCUCAACUUGUAGUCUGCACGAGAAACUGCCGGGCUUGAGUGUGGGAGAGGUGAGUGGAAUUCCUGGUGUAGCGGUGAAAUGCGUAGAUAUCAGGAGGAACACCUGUGGCGAAAGCGGCUCACUGGACCAUAACUGACGCUGAUGCACGAAAGCUAGGGGAGCAAACAGG